UACGUAGGGGGCAAGCGUUGUCCGGAAUCAUUGGGCGUAAAGAGCGCGUAGGCGGCCCUGUAAGUCCGCUGUGAAAGUCGGGGGCUCAACCCUCGAAUGCCGGUGGAUACUGUCGGGCUAGAGUGCGGAGGAGGCGAGUGGAAUUCCUGGUGUAGCGGUGAAAUGCGCAGAUAUCAGGAGGAACACCUAUUGCGAAGGCAGCUCGCUGGGACGUAACUGACGCUGAGACGCGAAAGCGUGGGGAGCAAACAGG
rnacentral:rRNA from 1 species